GGGGGGGAGAUCUGGUUACAGGUCUCUGGCCCUGACGCUUGUUCACUUUCAAGAAAUUAAGCACUGGAAGUGGGGAAACCAUUAUAUCCCAGGUAUAAAAAGCAGCCUGAAGGAUUUCACCUUGGAAACGCAGAAGUUCGUUAUGAAAUCAGUGAAGGAUAUUUAUGUAGAAUCAAAGUUAUAACUACAAUAAGUUCAAAUCUAUGAAAACUUGGGCACAUUCUGCAGAGCUCCUUCAUCAGCCAUACAUAAGAGCCCAAAAAUGCCAAUUUGUCUGAAAUGUCAAAUCCCAGAAAACGCUAUGGACAAUAUUUCCAGGGUCCCAAUCAAUCAAGCAGCAUGCCAAAGAAAACCAGGUUUUAUAUUUGCUUGGUGCCGCUCAGCGUUGAUUUUAUAGCAAAUACUGAUGGCAACUACAAGAACGCCGGAGUCAGAAAAGUGUUAAUUGACAGUGAUUUUAAAAUGUUAUGACAGUUUUCACAAGUAACAUAUACAAUAAAAUACAUGUUAAACAAUAUAAACAAGUGCAAUUCAAUAUUAAAAAUGUAGAAAGAAUAUGUAUUGUACUGUUUCUUUUUGUUUAUUGUUUGGUUCCAAUAGAGUCCCUAUCUAGAAACAACAUGCUGGGAUGUCGUAGGGUGUUUAAUACUGUAAGUGCAUCAGCUGGCAGUUGUGCUAAUGGCGACAUAUAGAAGGAGAAUGAUUUAAUGAUGCUUCUGUCACAAAUAUUGGAGGCAGUGCACUGCUCAUUUGCUUUUCUGUGGGUGCCAGAUGCACCAGAUUCAUGUGAGUGACGGGCCUUAGUUAUGAGUUUCUAAACAUUGCAUCACCCAGAAUAAAGUGACAAAAACUUUUACAAAUAAUGACAUUAAAAUAUAGCUGCAAACUUUUUUUCAUUUGUACUGUAUUCAAACAAAUUAAUAAAACAUCUUA